AGACACCGCCCUUUCACGGCGGUAACAGGGGUUCGAUUCCCCUAUGGGUCA
rnacentral:tRNA from 1 species